CCAGAUACACACAAUAGAAUCGUAUCGUUCGGUCCAGAUUACAACAAAUACAACUAUUUCACUUUCAAAUUCUAACAAAUAAUUUCUUUUUUUAUAUCUCGUGCUUAAAUUCAAAUGAAUCCAAAUAUAUAUCUAAUCUAAUCAGCGACAGUAAUGCAAUUAACAUCUCCCAACAAAAUACCUAAGAUUAAACACAGCUUAAAGUAAAAUAAUUAUUGUAGAAUGUAAACAAUUUGAGUUAGGUAUUUGCAAAAUUACUUGUGUUUUAAUUUUUUUUUUUAAAGGGACAUUUUAAUGAAAAAUAGGUGUUGGACUGGAUGUUAUAUACUCUUGUUCCACUUUUUAUAAAUAAAUCAAGGAAAUUGUUCUAAGUGAAUUUCAAUUGCAACACUAAUGUGAAUAUAAUACAAUGUGAGCAGAUGAAAAGCUGCUGUUGUUGACAUUGCUCAAAUCAAAUAAAUUAAUUACAGAGGAUGUAUUAAUUAAUUACUAUUCUAGUAAAGCGUAACUUCUGUUAUAAUGUUUAAAUUUUUAUGGUCUAAGUGUCGGUGAAAGCAUGUUGAACUAAUCAGCACUUUACUUUAUCUUUAAUUGGAUCCAUCUACUCUCUCCCAGGUUUAGUUGUCAAUCUGUUUCAUAUCAUCUCAGAGAGGAGCAAAUGCCGUUAGUUGAACAUAAUAUAAUGUUAAUUAAAGUGUCAUUUUAUAUAAGCUUGUGUUAGAUCAUUAGUACCAGUAAAAUCUGAAUAAUUUCAACAUUCACUUCAAAACAUCCCUUUAAAUUUGUAAAAGGCGAUAUAGAACAAGAAGUGAUUGCGUAAAAUUAUUCAUAAAGUUUUUUUUACACUAAUAUAACGUUUCACUUUUUGUUAUUAAUUGUAAUUUCUAAAUUGACAAUACAUCUUGUUGAUGUAGGAAAUCCCAGGAGUUCAAGAACUUAAAUCUAUGAUCAGCAAAAACUUUUUACCAGCUUAUCAUGCAAUAAUUAAGGUCACAGUUAAGGAUCAGAUGCAUUUUUGCUUAACAAGCAUUUUGUUAUUUUGAUACUGUGGUUUUUUUUUGGUUUUUUUUCCAUGGCGAUUUUUAUUUACUUAUAAUUUUACAUUUUAAUAAAGUAUUAAUCCUUAAUUGGAACUUUUUAGCCUUGCAAAUUAAAAAUUAAACUUAAAUAGGCUAGUAUCUAUGUGAAUUACAUAAAACGAUAAAUCAUAAUUUAUUUUUUUAAAUUCUCAUUCCAAUCCUAUCAAGCAAAUUUGACAUGAUAUUUCCUGUUAGAUUACAAACUGACCAAACAACAGAAAGCCUUAUCAUUUAGCUAACACUUUUUACAGCAUGCACAUUUAAUGAGGAUUCGCAAUGAGACAUUAAUAAUAUCAAUUUACAAUAACGUAAGGCGGAGUUUGAGCAUGCGUGUGCGAGAAUGGAAAAGGGGUGCCAUACGACCCUUGGCCAUGGAGCGUCCGUGCUGCAAUUGCCUGUGAAGCUGCUGUAGGUGGUAAGAACGGAUCCUGUUCAUCCACCUGUAAAUAUUCUCUCCUGAAA